rnacentral:rRNA from 1 species
AUUGAACGCUGGCGGCAUGCUUUACACAUGCAAGUCGAACGGCAGCGGGGGCGUUCGGCCUGCCGGCGAGUGGCGAACGGGUGAGUAAUGCAUCGGAACGUGCCCAGUCAUGGGGGAGUAACUACGCGAAAGCGUAGCUAAUACCGCAUACGCCCUGAGGGGGAAAGUGGGGGAUCUUCGGACCUCACGCGAUUGGAGCGGCCGAUGUCAGAUUAGCUAGUUGGUGAGGUAAAGGCUCACCAAGGCGACGAUCUGUAGCGGGUCUGAGAGGAUGAUCCGCCACACUGGGACUGAGACACGGCCCAGACUCCUACGGGAGGCAGCAGUGGGGAAUUUUGGACAAUGGGCGCAAGCCUGAUCCAGCCAUGCCGCGUGAGUGAAGAAGG